rnacentral:lncRNA from 1 species
CUGGUCAAUGUUUUCCUACUUUUGCUCUAAAUUGCUUUGGUAUAGUCAGUGUUGUUACUUUAUAAUCUUUGUUCUACCUCUUUGGCAAUAUAUCAAUAGUUUUUCUAUAAACUUUCCUCUGUAGAUACUUUAUUCUAAUAAAAUACAUGGUUCUGCUUUUCUUUACAUCAAAAAAAAAAAAAAAGAUUGGGGAUAGUAUUUGAACUAGCUUCUCUAACUACAAAGAUAAC